CAAAAACAUGUCCUCUUGAUUAUAUUUUGAGGUCUGGCCUGCUCACUGAUAAAUUUAAAGAGCCGCGGUAUUUUGACCGUGCAAAGGUAGCAUAAUCAUUAGUCUUUUAAUUAAGGGCUGGAAUGAAUGGCUUGACGAGAAAUUAACUGUCUCUUAAUAAUUUAUAAAAUUUAACUUUUGAGUCAAAAGGCUUAAAUUUUUCUUUAGGACGAGAAGACCCUAUAGAGCUUAACAUAUAAUUUAUAUUUAUACAUUAGAUGAUUUUUAUAUAUUUAAUGAUAAUGUUUUGUUGGGGUGACAUGAAGAAUUAAUAAACUCUUCAUUAUAAAAUCGUUAAUUUAUGUUUAUUUUUGAUCCAUAAUUUAUGAUCAUAAGAUUAAGUUACCUUAGGGAUAACAGCGUAAUUGUUUUUGAGAGCUCAAAUCAACAAAGCAGAUUGCGACCUCGAUGUUGGAUUAAGAAAAAUUUUGGGUGC
rnacentral:rRNA from 1 species